UGGUGGAGUGAUUUGUCUGGUUAAUUCCGAUAACGAACGAGACCCCGUCCUACUUACUAGACUUGAGAUGAUUUUCAUCUCUUGAAUCUUCUUAGAGGGACAGCUGGCGUAAAUCUAGCUACAUGAAAUGGGGCAAUAACA
rnacentral:rRNA from 1 species